rnacentral:rRNA from 1 species
UACAGAGGAGCCAAGCGUUGUCCGGAUUGACUGGGCGUAAAGCGCACGCAGGCGGAUGCGCGCGUGGGGUGUGAAAUCUGGCCGCUUAACGGCCAGGCGCCAUCCCAUACGGCGCGUCUGGAGUGAUGCAGAGGUCGAUGGAAUUGCCGGUGUAGUGGUGAAAUGCGUAGAUAUCGGGAGGAACACCUGUGGCGAAGGCGGCCCCCUGGUUGGAUACUGACGCUGAGACGCGAAAGCCAGGGGAGCGAAACGGG